UUUUUUCCUUUAUCUUUUAGUUUCAGAUUCAAAGAAGAAGAGAGGUCUGCUAGGGUUUAUAGAAUCAAUUUCAAUCAACGCCAUUUUCUCAUCUUCUUCAUCUGCUCCAUCUCUGGUUCGCCUACUCUCGCCGCCACAACACGCAUCAAACGCCGCCGCUCCCUGCGUCCGCCGCCGCCCUUCACAUUCUCGGAGGAACGAACUAUCAAUAUCACCACCCUGUUAAAUUUCGCGGGGAAAGAACGAGAACCAGAGCAACCCUUGAUGACACUGAAAUAGGACAACUUUCCUCAACCCCACUUCUUGUUGAGGACGACAAACCCAGCAAGGAAGUAGAGGAAAGUGUAAAAGUGCUAAAAGAUGCAGCUAAGACGAGAAAGGUAGCAGCAGAGAAGGUUCUGUCUGCACUUUCUGUCAUUGAGGAAGCGAGGGCAAAAAUCACAGGAACACAUUUAAAAAUCUAUCUUUCUGUCCAUAUCAUUCAUUAAUUCAUUAGCUCUAAGACCAAGUUGAAUUGAUUUAAUCACAGGAACACGUGACCAUGAUUCACCAGAUGAUAAAUCCAAAUGGGAAUGCGUGAGGAAAGGGGUUUGCUGCAUUUGCUGCGAAAGCAAUAUUGAUUCUCUCUUGUAUAGAUGUGGGCACAUGUGCACAUGUUCUAACUGUGCUAAUGAUUUGCACCGAAGUGGAAGGAAGUGUCCAAUGUGUCA